rnacentral:rRNA from 1 species
UACGUAGGGUGCGAGCGUUAAUCGGAAUUACUGGGCGUAAAGCGUGCGCAGGCGGUUAUAUAAGACAGAUGUGAAAUCCCCGGGCUCAACCUGGGAACUGCAUUAGUGACUGUAUAGCUAGAGUGCGGCAGAGGGGGAUGGAAUUCCGCGUGUAGCAGUGAAAUGCGUAGAUAUGCGGAGGAACACCGAUGGCGAAGGCAAUCCCCUGGGCCUGCACUGACGCUCAUGCACGAAAGCGUGGGGAGCAAACAGGAUUAGAAACCCCGGUAGU